UUUGCUUCCUUAUGCCUUUUGGCGUUCUCGGUCGGUGUUUCAGAUUGUGUUUCUCCCUUUUCUUUUUCUGUCCACCAUCUUUGCUUCCUUAUGCCAUUUGGUGUUCUCAGUCGGUAUCAUUAUUAAGCUCCAUUCAACUAGACGCUAGCUAAUACGUACAUAUAACAAUGAAGGAACUGUUACACGAUAUCGUCAUGAAUAUAGAGAGAAGUGACCUCUCUGUCUCCAUGCUUGGUCGAACAAGAAGUUUUCGUAUAUCUAUUCGAUGAUACUACAUAUAGUACACGUUCAU
rnacentral:lncRNA from 1 species